rnacentral:rRNA from 1 species
CAGUAGCCGCGGUAAUACGUAGGUGGCAAGCGUUGUCCGGAAUUAUUGGGCGUAAAGGGCUCGCAGGCGGUUUCUUAAGUCUGAUGUGAAAGCCCCCGGCUCAACCGGGGAGGGUCAUUGGAAACUGGGAAACUUGAGUGCAGAAGAGGAAAGUGGAAUUCCAUGUGUAGCGGUGAAAUGCGCAGAGAUAUGGAGGAACACCAGUGGCGAAGGCGACUUUCUGGUCUGUAACUGACGCUGAUGUGCGAAAGCGUGGGGAUCAAACAGGAUUAGAUACCCGUGUAGUCCCUGUCUCUUAUAA